rnacentral:rRNA from 1 species
UACAGAGGUCCCUAGCGUUGUUCGGAUUCACUGGGCGUAAAGGGUGCGUAGGCGGUCGGGUAAGUCUGGCGUGAAAUCUCCAAGCCUAACUUGGAAACUGCGUUGGAUACUAUCCGGCUCGAGGAAUGGAGGGGAGACUGGAAUACUUGGUGUAGCAGUGAAAUGCGUAGAUAUCAAGUGGAACACCAGUGGCGAAGGCGAGUCUCUGGACAUUUCCUGACGCUGAGGCACGAAAGCCAGGGGAGCAAACGGG